rnacentral:rRNA from 1 species
CACGUAGGCACCAAGCGUUGUGCGGAUUUAUUGGGCGUAAAGAGCUGGUAGGCGGUUCAGUAAGUCGGGUGUGAAAACUCUGGGCUCAACCCAGAGCCGCCACUCGAUACUGCUGUGACUUGAGUUCGGUAGGGGAGCGGGGAAUUCCUAGUGUAGCGGUGAAAAGCGCAGAGAUUAGGAGGAACACCGGUGGCGAAGGCGCCGCUCUGGGCCGAUACUGACGCUGAGGAGCGAAAGCGUGGGUAGCAAACAGG